AAGCCCCCCUUAAGACUGAGAUCUGGCGACGGGACUGGAUGAAUAAAUCUGAUCCAUCUACAGUCUACUCAGAUGUGAGGACAAACAACAUCCAUUCUGGGCAAACAGACAGCAGACCAAACAGGCUCAGAGAGUCUGAUCCAUCUACACUCUACUCAACAGUGAGAAGAGAGAACGUCAGUUCUGGGCAAACAGACAGCAGACCAAACAGGUUCAGAGAGUCUGAUCCAUCUACACUCUACUCAACAGUGAGAAGAGAGAACGUCAGUUCUGGGCA